rnacentral:lncRNA from 1 species
UUGCCAAUUCAUAUGAUACCUUUGAGGUGAAAAAGAAAAAGAGAUAUGGUUCAAAUGUAUCUUCCUUAAUAAAACUUAUAACAUAAAGUUGCUCACAUGUCAUGAAAACCAUAAUAGACUAAAUUUGUUUUUGUUUUGUUUUGUUUUUUGUUUUUUGUUUUUGCAGCUGGUCUUAUUGAUCUUCUCUCCUUGCUCCAUUAGUUAAUGCAAUGAAUGGUUAUAAAUGAUUACCGAUGAGGUUAGAUGCUUUACUACAAACAUAGAAUAUUUGCUAAAAGAAGAUAAAAAUUAAAGUCUUCCCGUAUUUAAGGUUUACACUCAUAGAAGACUAAGCAUGCAUGUUUAGUGCAUAAUUUCCAAGAUUUAUUUAUUUAUUUAUUGAUAAUUCCAAGCAAUCAGUAGCUUAUUAUAUAACUUGAACCAUGUCUAAUUUCCCAAAUCUCUACGCUUCACUAUUUAGAUCUUUAGAUACAUUUUUGCAGUCGAUGGGCUGGCGGUGCAAACAGUCAGUGCCUA